rnacentral:rRNA from 1 species
GGACUACCCGGGUAUCUAAUCCUGUUUGCUACCCACGCUUUCGCGUCUCAGCGUCAAGAUCGGUCCAGAAGGCCGCCUUCGCCACCGGUAUUCCUCCAAAUAUCUACGAAUUUCACCUCUACACUUGGAAUUCCACCUUCCUCUGCCGUCUUCUAGCUAGUUAGUUUCCCAUGCACUUCCUCGGUUGAGCCGAGGGAUUUCACACAAGACUUAACUAACAGCCUACACGCGCUUUACGCCCAAUGAUUCCGAACAACGCUAGCACCCUACGUAUUACCGCGGCUGCUGGCAC